UUCUCAGCAGCACCGCGGGGAUAUGUAGGAUGGCGAAGCGUUGUUCUGCAAUAAUUGUGGGUAAAGAGCGCGCAGGCGGUGUCUUUAUGUGUGAUAUGAAAGAGCACGCGUCACACGUGGAGGGGUCACUGUAAAAUGUGGGAGUCGAGUGCAGAGGAGGAGAAGAGGAGUUUCACGUGUAGCGGUGAAAAGUGUAGAGAUAUGGAGGAGCACCACUGGCGAAGACGGCUUUCUGGUGUGUAUAUGUCGCUGAGGCGCGAAAGAGUGGGGAGCAAACACGAUUAGAUAUCCUGGUAGUGCACGCCGUAAAAGAUGAGUGUUAAGUGUUAUAGGGUGUCUGCCCCUUAUUGUUGCAGAUAUCACACUAUACACUCCGCGCGGGGAGUGUGGUGGCACGAGUGAAAAUCAAAAGAAAAGAGGGGGGGCCGCGCACAAGGUGGAGCACAUGGUUUAAUUUGAAGCAACACGAAGAACCCUUUCACGUCUUGACACAUCGUCGACCAACCAGGAGAAUGGGCCUUCCCUUUGGGGACGGGGGUGACAGGUGGUGCAUGGUUGUCGUCAGCUCGUGUCGUGAGAUGUUGGGUUAAGUCCCGCAACGAGCGCAACCCUUGAUCUUAGUUGCCAGCAUUCAGUUGGGCACUCUAAGGUGACUGCCGGUGACAAACCGGAGGAAGGUGGGGAUGACGUCAAAUCAUCAUGCCCCUUAUGACCUGGGCUACACACGUGCUACAAUGGAUGGUACAAAGGGCUGCGAACCCGCGAGGGGGAGCCAAUCCCAUAAAACCAUUCUCAGUUCGGAUUGUAGGCUGCAACUCGCCUACAUGAAGCUGGAAUCGCUAGUAAUCGUGGAUCAGCAUGCCACGGUGAAUACGUUCCCGGGCCUUGUACACACCGCCCGUCACACCACGAGAGUUUGUAACACCCGAAGUCGGUGGGGUAACCUUAUGGAGCCAGCCGCCUAAGGUGACAGAGAUGAC
rnacentral:rRNA from 1 species